UACGGGGGGGGGCAAGCGUUGUUCGGAAUUACUGGGCGUAAAGGGCUCGUAGGCGGCCAACUAAGUCAUACGUGAAAUCCCCCGGCUUAACCGGGGAACUGCGUCUGAUACUGGAUGGCUUGAGUUCGGGAGAGGGAUGCGGAAUUCCAGGUGUAGCGGUGAAAUGCGUAGAUAUCUGGAGGAACACCGGUGGCGAAGGCGGCAUCCUGGACCGGUAUUGACGCUGAGGCGCGAAAGCCAGGGGAGCAAAGCGGG
rnacentral:rRNA from 1 species